rnacentral:rRNA from 1 species
AGAGAGAGACAUGCGCGCAUAUCAAUAAGCGGAGGAAAAGAAACUAACAAGGAUUCCCCUAGUAACGGCGAGUGAAGCGGGAAGAGCUCAAAUUUGAAAUCUUAAAGGGUUUCCCUUUACGAAUUGUAGUUUAAAGAAGUGUUUUCUGUUGAGGUUUUGGUAAAAGUUCUUUGGAAUAGGACAUCAUAGAGGGUGAGAAUCCCGUAUUUGACCUUUACUUUCAACUUUGUGAUACACUUUCAAAGAGUCGGAUUGUUUGGGAAUGCAGUCCAAAAUGGGUGGUAAAUUUCAUCUAAAGCUAAAUAUUGGCGAGAGACCGAUAGCGAACAAGUACCGUGAGGGAAAGAUGAAAAGAACUUUGAAAAGAGAGUUAAACAGUACGUGAAAUUGUCAAAAGGGAAGCGUUUGACACCAGUGUUGUUUUUCUGAAAAUCAAUUAAAGAACUGUUUAUGCUAAGCUGUUUAGACUUUAUCAGCUAAUCUGUUUAGUUUUGAGCUUUUCUUUAAUGCACUUUUCAGUUAACAAGUCAACAUCAAUUUCUUUUGCUGUAAAAAAGCUUGAGGAAGGUGGCUUGAGAUUCGUCUUAAGUGUUUAUAGCCUCUUGCCUAUGCAGUCGGAGAGAUUGAGGUCUGCAGCGUAGAUCCUUCGGGGCUAAAUGCAGUUUGUGCUAAGUUAUAGCAUUUUAUAGACAACUUGUUGACUAUGAUUUGUCUUGUAGCUUACUCGCUUAUGUUAUUUUACCUACGCUUAGGAUGUUGACGCAUGAGAUAUACGC